GUACAGAUGAACAGCCAGUUAACAUCUCAAUGACCUUCAAUAAGCACACAAGAGAAACCGCAGCCAAUGAAUGACGGCUACCUCUGGUCCCGGUGAGAAACAGGCGGUGGUACCUGAGAGAGCAGCAUAGCGGCGAGCACGGCGAGAGGCAAGACGUGACAGCACCUCCUCAUGGUUGGCGGCGGGACUCCCAAAGACAAGAAAGAUGUUUGGAGCUGCUUCACCUAGCAGGGUUCACCUCGUGUCAGGCCAAAUAACCCCUGCUGGGAGGAGAACAAUUAAUCAAUGCCAGACGCUAAAUUAUUUACUACUAUGGAAAUGCGGAAUUACAGGAAAAGUGGUAAAUUGGGGGAUGUUUCCAAGGGUAAUUGGUGGUCUCUAAUGUUUUGAUGCUGACAUGCUUUGAUGGGUUGAGAAAUAUGGAAGUUAAAAAAAACCCAAACCAAAUGAAACACAGAAUACUUGGGCUGGGCGUAUUUAUGGUAUCGAUAGCAUCCGAUAUCGGAUUGAUACUUUUAUUGCAGUUUAUCUUCUAUACAUCCAGCAAAUUAUUAAAUAUUCCUGUCAGAUUUUAACGCUUCCACAGCUCUCGCUCUUUCUGCUGCACACUCGUGCGAGCUUUACUGCUUCCAGCACGACUGUUGUUAUUUUUCACAAACAUUUGCAUGCAAUGGA